GCGAACGGGUGAGUAACGCAUCGGAACGUACCGAGUAGUGGGGGAUAACUGUCCGAAAGGAUGGCUAAUACCGCAUAUUCUCUGAGGAGGAAAGCAGGGGACCUUCGGGCCUUGCGCUAUUUGAGCGGCCGAUGUCUGAUUAGUUAGUUGGUGGGGUAAAGGCCUACCAAGGCGACGAUCAGUAGCGGGUCUGAGAGGAUGAUCCGCCACACUGGGACUGAGACACGGCCCAGACUCCUACGGGAGGCAGCAGUGGGGAAUUUUGGACAAUGGGGGGAACCCUGAUCCAGCCAUGCCGCGUGUCUGAAGAAGGCCUUCGGGUUGUAAAGGACUUUUGUCAGGGAAGAAAAGCUUGAGGUUAAUACCCUUGAGUGAUGACGGUACCUGAAGAAUAAGCACCGGCUAACUACGUGCCAGCAGCCGCGGUAAUACGUAGGGUGCGAGCGUUAAUCGGAAUUACUGGGCGUAAAGCGGGCGCAGACGGUUACUUAAGUCAGAUGUGAAAUCCCCGGGCUCAACCU
rnacentral:rRNA from 1 species